GAUCUGGUCAGGACGAACGCUGGCGGCGUGCCUAACACAUGCAAGUCGAGCGGGGACAUGGAGUAGCAAUACGAAAUGUCUAGCGGCGGACGGGUGAGUAACGCGUGAGCAACCUGUCCCAGUCAGGGGGAUAACGAGCCGAAAGGCUCCCUAAUACCGCAUGAGACCACAGCAUCACAUGGUGCAGGGGUCAAAGGAGAGAUCCGGACUGGGGUGGGCUCGCGUCUGAUUAGCUAGUUGGUGAGGUAAAGGCCCACCAAGGCGACGAUCAGUAGCCGACCUGAGAGGGUGAUCGGCCACAUUGGAACUGAGACACGGUCCAAACUCCUACGGGAGGCAGCAGUGGGGAAUAUUGGGCAAUGGGGGAAACCCUGACCCAGCAACGCCGCGUGAAGGAAGAAGGUCUUCGGAUCGUAAACUUCUAUCCUUGGUGAAGAUAAUGACGGUAGCCGAGAAGGAAGCCCCGGCUAACUACGUGCCAGCAGCCGC
rnacentral:rRNA from 1 species